CCUACGGUGGGCAGCAGUGGGGAAUAUUGCGCAAUGGGGGCAACCCUGACGCAGCAACGCCGCGUGAUUGAAGAAGGCCUUCGGGUUGUAAAGAUCUUUAAACAGGGACGAAGAACUGACGGUACCUGAAGACUCAGCUCGUGCUCACUACGUGCCAGCAGCCGCGGUAAUACGUAGGGAGCAGGCGUUAUCCGGAUUUACUGGGUGUCAAGGGCGUGUAGGCGGGCCUGUAAGUCAGAAGUGAAAUCUGGGGGCUUAACCCCCAAACGGCUUUUGAAACUGCGGGUCUUGAGUGAGGGAGAGGCAGGCGGAAUUCCCAGUGUAGCGGUGAAAUGCGUAGAUAUUGGGCGGAACACCAGUGGCGAAGGCGGCCUGCUGGACAUUAACUGACGCUGAGGCGCGAAAGCGUGGGGAGCGAACAGGAUUAGAUACCCUGGUAGUC
rnacentral:rRNA from 1 species